rnacentral:misc_RNA from 1 species
UAUACAGAAUAGAUAGACAAAGAGAAAGAGAGGAAGUGAGAGAAAGAAAUAGAGUGGAGGGAGAGGGGGUAGGAGGGAGAAGGAGCGAGAAAGACAAGUAGACGAAGGAAGAUAAGAGAGGGAGAAAGAGAAGUCGAGCAACGUCGCAAGAGAAAAGAUCUGUCAUCAGGAUUUUAUUCGGUCCUCUCUCUUUCUCUCUCUUUCUCUCUCUCUCUCUCUCUCCGCGUGCGUGAAUGACAAGGUAGAGAAAGAAGAAUUUUAAGAAAGGAGGAGGAGGAGGAGAAUAGGAGGAGGAAAAGAAAAACAUCGUUUUUCCUUACUAUCGUGCGAAUCCUUUUUAUUUUUAUUUCUUUUUUUUGUCCUCGGAAUAAGUCGCGAUUAAAGUUUCGGUAAAGAGUUCGUCGUGGUCGUAACGCGAAAAGAAAGACAACGCAUUGUCCGCACGUCGGCCGCACAUGUGAUCGUCCAAGGUGUCACCAUCAGCUCGAGAUGAAGAAGUUUACGAUCAAAGGGGUGCUCGACGGUUUCCGUUCGUCGAUGCCUCAACCAACUAAAUCUGAUCAGGAGAUCGUUGAAAAUCUCAGAUCCGAGCAUAUUCAAGUUAAAAAGACAUUCAGACAUGGGUUUCCACAUCAACCGACAGCCGUUGCUUUCGACCCAGUUCAAAGGCUCCUUGCGAUUGGUACUAAAUCAGGAUCCCUUAGGAUUCUGGGCAGACCAGGCGUGGACGCUCACGUAAAACACGAAGGGUGUACGGCGGUGAUGCAGUUGAAGUUCCUGAUCAACGAGGGUGCCCUUAUUUCUGCUACAACCGACGACACUCUUCAUCUAUGGAACUUUCGUCAGAAGAUACCGCAGGUAGUGCAGAGUCUGAAGUUUCAACGAGAUAGGAUAACCUGCAUCCAUCUGCCGCUUCAGAGCAAAUGGCUUUAUGUCGGUACCGAACGUGGCAAUAUUCACAUACUCCACAUCGAAACGUUCGUUCUAUCCGGAUACGUAAUUAAUUGGAACAAGGCUAUUGAAGUAUCUAGAAAGACCCAUCCUGGUGCUGUAGUACACUUGAGUGAUAAUCCUUUAGAUUUGAGCAAGAUGCUGAUCGGAUAUGAGAGUGGACAGAUAGUCCUUUGGGAUUUGAAAACGAAGAGCGCGGAUUACAGAUGUCAUAGCGACGAACCCUUGAAAUCAAUAACAUGGCAUCACGAAGGCAAACAAUUUAUGUCUAGUCACAACGAUGGUUCGCUAUUGACUUGGACGGUGCGUCAAUUAAAGCCAACAAAUGUCACGCAUCCACACGCGAAAGCUACCAAAGAGGGAGAACCGGAACCCUGUAAAUCUAUACAAAAAGUGGAAUGGAAAGUGUCAAGAUCCGGGGAGGCGUACGUCAUAUUUUCCGGUGGUCUAGCGUACGACACAACUGGAAGGACACCUAGUAUUACGGUUAUACACGGAAAAACCACGACUGUUUUAGAAAUGGAGCACAAUGUUGUAGAUUUUAUAACGCUUUGCGAUAGUCCUUGGACAAGUGAUUUCCAGGAUCCUUACGCUGUUGUGGUUUUACUACAGAACGAUCUCGUGAUCAUCGAUUUGUUAACAUCAGGAUUUCCAUGUUUCGAAAAUCCAUAUCCAAUGGACAUACACGAAUCUCCCGUAACUUGUUGCGCGUAUUUUGCCGAUUGUCCUUCGGAUUUGGUACCUGCAUUUUAUUCGGUUGGAUCCAAAUCGCAAAAGAAAACUGGAUUUAGCGAAAAAGAAUGGCCGAUCUCGGGCGGAGAAUGGAGUUCUAGUUCGAGCAGUUACAAUGAAAUUAUUAUCACAGGGCACGCGGAUGGUAGUAUAAAAUUUUGGGACGCUUCUGCCGGUACGUUACAAGUUCUUUACAAAUUGAAAACGGCGAAACUUUUUGAAAAGAGUAGAGCCAGAAGCGUUGACUCGGAGGAAGAUCCAUUGGCGAUACAACUCAUUUACCUUUGUCCUGAAAGUCGAAAGUUGGCGAUCGCUGGCUCGGGAAAAUACGUUGUAUUGUUUAAAUUUAAAAAAGCCGAAAGUAUGUCGGAAGUAGUCACAUUAGAAGUACCAUUGAGCCAAAAUCUAGCGAGAGAAACAGAAAAUUCACCGGAACAUGAUGCGCCAGCGACGGGAAAUGUUACUUCAACCGGAGAAUCUAAACACACGUCGGAAUAUAAUCAUCCGUUGAAAGUUAAAAGUGGUUUGCAAAAACGUGCUGCCGGUUUUCAAGCAACAUUGAUUUGUUUAACUAUCGCACCGAGCGGAGAACAACCUGAAAACAUAACAGCCCUCAGUUUAAAUUCAUCCUACGGAUUAAUGGCCUAUGGAAACGAGACAGGGUUAGUAAUAAUCGAUAUCGUGCAGAAAAUCACUUUGAUCGUGUUGCAUACAACAGACCUUGGUGGAAGCGGUGAUCCCUACCAACGAGUUCUACGAAGUCCCAAGCGGCAAGAUGACUCCAAGCGAGAAAACGAAGAUAAAGCGAGGAGCCCGAGUGCAGAUCAGCUAACUACUAUGUGCCUACCCACAUUGAAACAAACUCAGCCGGAAGCUACGAGGGAGAGCGAGCCAGUAUUAACGAUGCUGCUACCAGAUUCUCAUCAUCAACAGCAACAGCAACAACAGCAACAGCAACAUUCACAAUACCAGCGGGCAUCGCCACGUGAUUCGAGUUGUGCGAUUGAAAAAUUGACCGAGGAAUCGGCUAGCGAGGGCUCCUCGGCCAAAUCCCAUUUUGGAAGUUCAACAACAUCGAAUGGCGAGGAUAGCCCGAAGAAUCAUGGUUGGAAGGGUUUUCGUCUUAAACGCCAACUCAGCAAGGUCGAUCUCAAGAUAAAGAAUACAUUUGCGUCGUCCUUGGUGUCAUCUCAGAAUGGGCAGGUAGGGAACGAGAGUGCUACUCAGAAGAGUUCUUCCGUUUUUUAUUGCAACGUCAACGAGUCCUCGAGAGUCCUUUCCCCGGUCGAAAGUCUUGAGACGGAGGAGGAGGAGGAGGACGAGCAUCCCUGUGCGAAUACCUCGGGUCGCGAGAGUCCUCAAGGUUCUUCUUGUCAUCGUGAUACGAAAAACGCGGAUAGCGAAAACGAGAGACAAAACGUUGAACGUAACGAAACAGGAACAACUAACGUUACGACAACGAAUAUUACGAGUAGUAGUAGUAGUAGUAAUAGUAGUAGUACUACUACGAGUACUCUGGCGAGUACUACUACGAACACGAUGGCCGUUAGACCAUUAGAAUUGUCCUUGCACGAGAAUGAUCGAAAGCCACGAUUGAAGAGGAUAGUGAUGGGGAUACAGAGUAAGAGAGAGGGACGUCUGCUAUCCGUGCCCAAUCUGAAAUACCAGAAAACCGAUGGUACUACCGUUUGCGACCUGAGAUGCGAGGAUAACACUGCUCCCGUCGCUGACUCCUUCACCGGAAAUCUUAUAAGAAGAUUCAGCCGGAUAGACAAAUUUGACGGUUCCUUUCAACGGUCACGGAGCUCAAGCAUGUCCUCGCUUGAGAACAUCACCACGGAAACCAUUAGCUGCCUUACGUUCGCUGAUUCCUAUACGAAGAAAAGCGAUACCACCACUUUACCCACUUUAUGGGUUGGUACGUCUCUGGGAUCCAUACAAACCGUUGUAUUCAAUGCACCUGCCCCAGGCGAAAGACACGCAUAUCCUGUGGUUGUUUCUACAUGUAAUGGAUCGACGUUUAAGUUGAAGGGUUGCAUCCUAUCGAUGUCAUUUCUGGAUUGCAAUGGCGCACUUAUCCCGUAUUCUUUCGAAUCCUGGAAAGAUGAAAAUGUCGAUGGAGGAAAAGAACGUAAUAAGAACCAAGGAAAAUGCAAUAGCCGAUUAUCACCGUCCUUGAACACUCAAGUUACGACCGGGGACGGUUUCGAAGAUCGACAAUUUGUCGUUUUGACGUCUGAGAAGCAAGCUAGGGUCGUGGCUUUACCCUCACAAGAUUGCGUUUAUAGGCAACAAUUGGCGGAAACUCAUAUUGUAAUCAAGGCGGAGGUUACCACUUUGAAAGAUAACGUCUGUCUGGUAUGUUACGUUUCAAACGGUCACAUAUCUACGUAUAGUCUACCCAGUCUCAGGCCGCUAAUAGACGUCGAUUUUUUACCACUUACAGAUCUGAGACUACAAAACACGGCAUUGUAGACCCCAUGUUGUCCAUAUGGGGUCAUCAACUGUUUGUUAAUGGCGAUACCGAUCAGAUUGCGAAGACUCUUUGCUUCAGUAAUCGUGGCCACGGUCUGUAUCUAUCAUCACCUGCGGAAAUACAGAAGUUUUCAAUAUCAAGCGAGU